AGAAGACGAUGAUUAAGGAGACUUUCUAGUUAUUGCCAUUGACUGACUCAGAUUUGUGGAUGGGAUUAGGAAUGUGUGACUGAAAAAACUGGUUAUGCUUUGUGUUUGUAAUAUUAAGAACCUCAUUUGCUACUUGUUUAUGUGUAGGUCAGUUGUAUGGUCGGAUAGGAUCACUUGGAUGCUAUGUCUCCUUAUUACCUUCUGUGUUUAUUAAGGAUUUAUUUGAUGAGUGAUAUAUGGAUUUAUUUAAAUGUAUUGUUGAUUUCUAUCUGUUACUUUUGGGUUGAUGUGUUUUUGAUUUUGUCAACGUGUGUUACUUUUACUCUCUGGUAUAUUGUUGUUUGACUCUUUUGUGGCUUUUUCCAAGGGAAUAUUUGAUCUAACGUUGAAUUGGGACAGAAUCUUUUUGCUGGGAUGGGUCGUCUGACUGUUUGUUUGCUGUUGUGCGUUUUGUCUUUUUGUUUGAGUCUAUUCAUAGGAGGGGAACCAUUCAUGGUUUUUUGUUCCUGAGUUUCAUAACACUGAUUAGUAUGUUAGAUUACAAUCCAAAGAGUGGUAUUUUCUCGUCUUAAAAGGCUAUUUCAUUACACUAUUAUGGUUUGAAGCCUGCUUAUUGAGAUUAUAUAUGUGCAAAUUGCAAUCUGGUUCAUGGUUUGCUUUUUUGGUUUUAUCGAUUUUAUGCAAACUUAAACCAGGUACAACCAUUUUGUUUGGUUUGGCUUGCUUUUGUUUAAUCCGAUUUUGGGUUAUUUUAAAUCUUCAAUUUUGUUAUUCGUUUCUUUGCUCGAAUAUCGUUAUGGUACUCCUUAGCCGUGGCCCGUGGAGGUCAUCAAACAUCCAAACCGUUGACCUAAUGAUCCCUAGAAAGAUAAACAUUAUGUUUAUCCUCGUCUCGUUGAUCUUCCCAUUGUUAGCUUAGCUUCCUGCUUUUGUUUAAGCCACAAGAAAGAUUGUAGCGAUCAUUUGAAGUCGGCCCGCAGCCUCGUCUCUCCUGAACUUCGGAUCAGUAUAUCAGGAUCCGGCGCCACGCUCAUCUGCAUAUUCUCCUCAAUAUCCACCAACUGUAUUGUCUCCAUGUCCCUAUCUAACUUGGUCACACAAGAUUUUUUGACAGCUUGUACGAUCUCAUCCGUCGAGUUAUAAGCAACGCAGACAAGAAGCACUACACCACUUCUCUCAGAAGUGGCCUCCAUGACUUCUUCCGCAGCAGCUCUCACUUGGUCACUUAAAAGCGCCAAGUUACCGAUAAAAUACACAUGUAUCCCGUAUUCAUGCACUAUACUCUCUUUAUCAAGCAGAGACUUGAUCUUCUCCAGCAUCAAAUCCAUUAGAGACCGAACCUCCUCAGGCUUUCUUCUAAAGUUAUCUAUGCUAAAUGCGUAUACAGUUACAUACUUGAUGCCCAGCUCGUAGCAGUACUGUAGCAUCGACAUGAGCGCAGAGAACCCGGCUUUGUGUCAGACCCGUCUUCUAGACCUUGCUUCUUUGCGUACCUCCUGUUUCCAUCCAUGAUAAAGGCGAGAUGAGUGGGCAAAGGACCCAUGGAUAUGACCCGGAACAAACAUCUUCUUGAAAACCCGUAUAUCUGCUAGAGGAGUUUAUUGAUAUGUCUUAUUUGCCCCAUACUUCUUUGAAAGAAAAAAGAGUUUUAUCUGUUCACACAAACUGAAAUAAAAAAAACUUCAGUUAGAACAUAAUCAAGCAAGAGUUUUAGCUUUGAACUAGAAUACAGAACUAGGAUCCUCACUCACUAUAGAUAAGAAGACGAAAAAAUAAAAUAAACUGUAUAUUUGCAUGCUUUCACAUUGAUAGAAAUCAAACGAUUCAGAGAAUACAAAAGGAGGAUUCAAUAUUACUAUCGAAACCGAGAACACUUCAAAACGAAAAGGAAGAUUGGAUAAAACAUGGUGUUUAGAUAAGUCGAGUCUACCUGAGAGUGAAGCGAGAUCAACGCCUAUCUUGCAAUGUUGACGGCGCGACCAAAAUUCACAGUUGACUCAGGGCCCGUCUGAAAGUUUGGAGGUCCAACACCAUUUAGUAAAGAUUUUAAAAUUUUGGGGUCUAAAAAACUUUUUUUUCACAAAUUGGAAACUAAUUUAAAUAUAAAAAAUUUUAAAAAUUUUGGAGGCUCAAAACGAAUGUUUCAUUGGGCGUGGUCCAGGACCGGCCCUGAGUUAGACUGUGAAAGAGAGAGAUAUGGAGAGGGAGGAGGAUGAGAGGGGAAUAUUUACUUUGGGGGAAGCAAAAGGUAAAGAAUUGGAACCGGUUAAAAAGGACAACACCAAUGAAAACCUGGUUUAGGCGGAGAUCGGUAGAUUGGUGUCGGUUUAGGCGAGAUCCGUAGAUUUGGUGUGCCUUUUUGUGCACGUGGCAUAUUUUAAAAAUAACUAGAAAUGCUGAUGUGUCAAUCUACAUUUGUCUUAACUGCGUCAAAAGACAAACACUUCCAAGUAAAAGAACAAAUCUCACACAGACUCAAACUGGUCAAACAAAGAAAAAAGAAAAAAACCUAAGGUAAUCAACUCGCUCCCACCGACUCAGUCCGAGUCACCCGAUUCACUAACGAUUCUUUACUCUUGUUCACAGAACUCGAGAUGAAAGGCGGUCAAUCGAAAGCUGAAGCGACGAGCACCGACCAGAGGUAUCACUCUCUCCAUUUUCUCUGAAAUCUGAGAUCUGCACAACUUCUCUCACCUCUAAUUUGAUUUUAAUAAAUCUUCAAAAAUACUGUUUUGUACACGUGGCAGAUUUAAAAUAACUAAAAAUGCUGAUGUGUCAUUCUACAUUUGUCUUGCUGCGUCAAAAAGACAAUCAAACACUUCCAAGUAAAAAAGAACAAAUCUCUCACGGACUCUCAAAACUGGUCAAACAAACAAAAAGAACCCUACGGUAAUCAACUCGCUCCUACUGACUCAGUCCGAGUCACCCGAUUCACUAACGAAUCUUCACUCUUGUUCACAGAACUUGAGAUGAAAGGCGGCCAAUCGAAAGCAGAAGCAACGAGCACAGAUCAAAGGUUUCGCUCUCGGACUCUCUCCAUUAUCUCUGAAAUCUGAGAUCUGCACAACUUCUCUCACCUCUGUUUUGAUUCCAGACUCAAAACCAGAGGAAGGAAGAAGAAGACGGCGACGAAGGACCCAAACAAACCUAAGAGACCUCCAAGCGCUUUCUUCGUCUUCUUGUAAAACCUCACAAUCUCACAUUUGCCUCACUGCUUUAUUUCAAUUUUAGAACUGAUUAAUGUUCUGUCGCAGAGAUGAUUUUCGACGGGAGUUCAAAGAGGCGAACCCUAACAACAAGUCCGUCGCCGCCGUAAGUGAGGUUCCACAAUCUCAGAUUUGUAAUUCGAAAUUAAUAAUAAUAAUAAUCUGUGUGCAAAACAACAUCAGGUUGGGAAGGCUGCUGGAGCCAAGUGGAAGUCUAUGAGUGAAGAAGUGAGUCUUGUGCUUCGUCCUUUUAAGAUUAAGCUCAAAAAAGUUAAAAACUCUUUUGGUUGUUUUGAGUACAGGAGAAAGCGCCUUAUGCCACCAAGGCAGAGACCAGGAAGAGUGAAUAUAAUCAGAGUAUGCAAGAGUACAACAUGAAACUGGUAAUAAAAAUAUAUCAGCUUUGACUUUCUAGAGGGAGAGAGAGAUUGUGUGUAUCUUUAUGGUCUUACUGUGUUCUUGUUUAGGCUAAUGGAACCAGUAGAGGUGAAGAUGAUGAGUCCAAGUCUGAAGUGGACGAAGCUGGAGGAGCAAGCGAUGAGGUUUUUUUUAUUUUAGACAUAAAACUCUUAAUGCUUUGUUAUGUUUUUGUUUUACAUGUAUGUGACGUUCUGGACUGUCUUGUAUUUUGGCAGGAGGAAGAAGACGAUGAUUAAGGAGACUUUCUAGUUAUUGCCAUUGACUGACUCAGAUUUGUGGAUGGGAUUAGGAAUGUGUGACUGAAAAAACUGGUUAUGCUUUGUGUUUGUAAUAUUAAGAACCUCAUUUGCUACUUGUUUAUGUGUAGGUCAGUUGUAUGGUCGGAUAGGAUCACUUGGAUGCUAUGUCUCCUUAUUACCUUCUGUGUUUAUUAAGGAUUUAUUUGAUGAGUGAUAUAUGGAU
rnacentral:lncRNA from 1 species